rnacentral:rRNA from 1 species
AGUGAACGCUGGCGGUAGGCCUAACACAUGCAAGUCGAACGGCAGCACAGUAAGAGCUUGCUCUUACGGGUGGCGAGUGGCGGACGGGUGAGGAAUACAUCGGAAUCUACUUUUUCGUGGGGGAUAACGUAGGGAAACUUACGCUAAUACCGCAUACGACCUACGGGUGAAAGCAGGGGAUCUUCGGACCUUGCGCGAUUGAAUGAGCCGAUGUCGGAUUAGCUAGUUGGCUGGGUAAAGGCCCACCAAGGCGACGAUGCGUAGCUGGUCUGAGAGGAUGAUCAGCCACACUGGAACUGAGACACGGUCCAGACUCCUACGGGAGGCAGCAGUGGGGAAUAUUGGACAAUGGGCGCAAGCCUGAUCCAGCCAUACCGCGUGGGUGAAGAAGGCCUUCGGGUUGUAAAGCCCUUUUGUUGGGAAAGAAAAGCAGCAGGUUAAUCCCCCGCUGUUCUGACGGUACCCAAAGAAUAAGCACCGGCUAACUUCGUG